GUGGGGAAUAUUGGACAAUGGGCGGAAGCCUGAUCCAGCCAUGCCGCGUGUGUGAAGAAGGUCUUCGGAUUGUAAAGCACUUUAAGUUGGGAGGAAGGGCAGUAAGCUAAUACCUUGCUGUUUUGACGUUACCGACAGAAUAAGCACCGGCUAACUUCGUGCCAGCAGCCGCGGUAAUACGAAGGGUGCAAGCGUUAAUCGGAAUUACUGGGCGUAAAGCGCGCGUAGGUGGUUCAGCAAGUUGGAGGUGAAAUCCCCGGGCUCAACCUGGGAACUGCCUCCAAAACUACUGAGCUAGAGUACGGUAGAGGGUAGUGGAAUUUCCUGUGUAGCGGUGAAAUGCGUAGAUAUAGGAAGGAACACCAGUGGCGAAGGCGACUACCUGGACUGAUACUGACACUGAGGUGCGAAAGCGUGGGGAGCAAACAGGAUUAGAUACCCUAGUAGUCC
rnacentral:rRNA from 1 species